GGGUUCGUCUGGGAUUUGAACCCGGGACCUCUCGUACUCUAAGCGAGAAUCAUACCCCUAGACCAACCUACC
rnacentral:tRNA from 1 species